rnacentral:misc_RNA from 1 species
AACUUGCAGCAAUGGGUCACUUGGUUCUGGCGUCGAUGAAGAACGCAGCGAAAUGCGAUAAGUAAUGUGAAUUGCAGAAUUCAGUGAAUCAUCGAAUCUUUGAACGCACAUUGCGCCCCCUGGUAUUCCGGGGGGCAUGCCUGUUCGAGCGUCAUUACACCCCUCAAGCUCUGCGUGGUAUUGGGCCCCGCCGGUUCCGGCGGGCCCUAAAGUCAGUGGCGGUGCCAUCCGGCUCCGAGCGUAGUAAUUCUCCUCGCUCUGGAGACACGGCUGUGUGCUUGCCAGCAACCCCCAAUUUUUUAAGGUUGACCUCGGAUCAGGUAGGGAUACCCGCUGAACUUAAGCAUAUCAAUAAGCGGAGGCU